GGGACUUGGGGGCCCCGGUCCCUAACCGGGCGAAGGUUCCAUAAUCCUUGUUCUUUAAAUAAGGGCCUGGAUCAACGGCCUCCCGAGGGCUGAACUGCCUCCCCUUUUAAUUCAGUGAUUCUAACCCCUUCUUGAAAAACCUAAAAUAAAAAAAUAAAACAAAAAAACCCCUUGGAGCUUAAAACCAAGUAUCAAACUUUUUCUAAAAAACCUUAAAAAAAAGGAAACCUGUUACCAAGUUUUUGGCUGGGGCAUCCAAGGAUUAUAUUCUACCCCCCCGGACAAAAAUCUAAAAUUUACAACUCUAAAAGGCAUUAAACUGAUGUAAAAUGACCCGAAUAUCAAUCAACAAACCAAUUUACCCUGGGGAUAACACCGAAAUCCAUUUUGAAAGCCC
rnacentral:rRNA from 1 species